ensembl:misc_RNA Metazoa_SRP Metazoan signal recognition particle RNA
GCUGGGUGUGGUGGCGGGUGCCUGUAGUCCCAACUACUCCGGAGGCUGGGGCAGGAGAACUACUUGAACCCAGGAGUCAGAGGUUGCAGUGAGCCAGGAUUGCACCGCUGCACUCCAGCCUGGUGACAGAGUAAGACUCUGCUCAGAAAAAAAGAAAAAAAAAAAAAAGAAAAUAUGAGAUAUUUCAGUCAGGAAAACAGAAACCACUUAGGUAUUUCAACAGGGAAUUUUUUUUUUUUUUUUUUUGAGAGGGAGUUUCACUCUGUUCCCCAGGCUGGAGUGCAGUGAUGCAGUCCUGGCUCACAGCAACCUCUGCCUCCUGGGUUCAAGAGAUUCUCCUGCCUCAG